GACGAACCGUGCGAACGUUAUUCGGAAUCACUGGGCUUAAAGCGCGUGUAGGCGGGAGGGCACGUCCGUCGCUGAAAUCCCCCGGCUCAACCGGGGAACGGGCGCGGAUACGACCUUCCUCGAGGGGCGUAGGGGGACCUGGAACUUCCGGUGGAGCGGUGAAAUGCGUUGAGAUCGGAAGGAACAUCAGUGGCGAAAGCGACUUCCUGGACCAGUACCGACGUUCAGGCACGAAAGCGUGGGGAGCAAACAGG
rnacentral:rRNA from 1 species